rnacentral:rRNA from 1 species
CAGUAGCCGCGGUAAUACGUAGGUGGCAAGCGUUGUCCGGAAUUAUUGGGCGUAAAGGGCUCGCAGGCGGUUUCUUAAGUCUGAUGUGAAAGCCCCCGGCUCAACCGGGGAGGGUCAUUGGAAACUGGGAAACUUGAGUGCAGAAGAGGAGAGUGGAAUUCCACGUGUAGCGGUGAAAUGCGUAGAGAUGUGGAGGAACGCCAGUGGCGAAGGCGACUCUCUGGUCUGUAACUGACGCUGAGGAGCGAAAGCGUGGGGAGCGAACAGGAUUAGAUACCCCAGUAGUCCCUGUCUCUUAUAC